AGAGUUUGAUCAUGGCUCAGAACGAACGCUGGCGGCAGGCCUAACACAUGCAAGUCGAACGUGAAGCUACCUUCGGGUAGUGGAAAGUGGCGCACGGGUGAGUAACGCGUGGGAAUCUACCUCUUGGUUCGGGAUAACCCUUGGAAACGAGUGCUAAUACCGGAUACGCCCUUCGGGGGAAAGAUAUAUUGCCGAGAGAUGAGCCCGCGUUCAAUUAGGUAGUUGGUAGGGUAAUGGCCUACCAAGCCUACGAUUGAUAGCUGGUCUGAGAGGAUGACCAGCCACACUGGGACUGAGACACGGCCCAGACUCCUACGGGAGGCAGCAGUGGGGAAUAUUGGACAAUGGAGGCAACUCUGAUCCAGCCAUGCCGCGUGAGUGAUGAAGGCCUUAGGGUUGUAAAGCUCUUUCAGAUGUGACGAUGAUGACGGUAACAUCAGAAGAAGCCCCGGCUAACUUCGUGCCAGCAGCCGCGGUAAUACGAAGGGGGCUAGCGUUGUUCGGAAUUACUGGGCGUAAAGCGCGCGUAGGCGGCUUGAUCAGUCAGAGGUGAAAUCCCAGGGCUCAACCCUGGAACUGCCUUUGAUACUGUCAAGCUAGAG
rnacentral:rRNA from 1 species